UACGAAGGGGGCUAGCGUUGCUCGGAAUCACUGGGCGUAAAGGGUGCGUAGGCGGGUCUUUAAGUCAGGGGGGAAAUCCUGGAGCUCAACUCCAGAACUGCCUUUGAUACUGAAGAUCUUGAGUUCGGGAGAGGUGAGUGGAACUGCGAGUGUAGAGGUGAAAUUCGUAGAUAUUCGCAAGAACACCAGUGGCGAAGGCGGCUCACUGGCCCGGUACUGACGCUGAGGAGCGAAAGCGUGGGGAGCGAACAGG
rnacentral:rRNA from 1 species